rnacentral:rRNA from 1 species
AGAGUUUGAUCCUGGCUCAGGAUGAACGCUAGCGGCAGGCUUAACACAUGCAAGUCGAGGGGUAACAUUGUAGCUUGCUACAGAUGACGACCGGCGCACGGGUGCGUAACGCGUAUACAAUCUACCUAUUACUAAGAGAUAGCCCAGAGAAAUUUGGAUUAAUAUUUUAUAGUAUUAUCAAUUGGCAUCAAUUGAUACUUAAAGGUUACGGUAAUAGAUGAGUAUGCGUCCUAUUAGCUUGAUGGUAAGGUAACGGCUUACCAUGGCUACGAUAGGUAGGGGUCCUGAGAGGGAGAUCCCCCACACUGGUACUGAGACACGGACCAGACUCCUACGGGAGGCAGCAGUGGGGAAUAUUGCACAAUGGGCGCAAGCCUGAUGCAGCCAUGCCGCGUGUGUGAAGAAGGCCUUCGGGUUGUAAAGCACUUUCAGUCAGGAGGAAAGCGUGGUGGUUAAUACCCAUCAUGUGUGACGUUACUGACAGAAGAAGCACCGGCUAACUCCGUGCCAGCAGCCGCGGUAAUACGGAGGGUGCGAGCGUUAAUCGGAAUUACUGGGCGUAAAGCGUACGCAGGCGGUUUGUUAAGCGAGAUGUGAAAGCCCCGGGCUCAACCUGGGAACUGCAUUUCGAACUGGCAAACUAGAGUGUGAUAGAGGGUGGUAGAAUUUCAGGUGUAGCGGUGAAAUGCGUAGAGAUCUGAAGGAAUACCGAUGGCGAAGGCAGCCACCUGGGUCAACACUGACGCUCAUGUACGAAAGCGUGGGGAGCAAACGGGAUUAGAUACCCCGGUAGUCCACGCCGUAAACGAUGUCUACUAGAAGCUCGGAGCCUCGGUUCUGUUUUUCAAAGCUAACGCAUUAAGUAGACCGCCUGGGGAGUACGGCCGCAAGGUUAAAACUCAAAUGAAUUGACGGGGGCCCGCACAAGCGGUGGAGCAUGUGGUUUAAUUCGAUGCAACGCGAAGAACCUUACCUACACUUGACAUACAGAGAACUUACCAGAGAUGGUUUGGUGCCUUCGGGAACUCUGAUACAGGUGCUGCAUGGCUGUCGUCAGCUCGUGUUGUGAGAUGUUGGGUUAAGUCCCGCAACGAGCGCAACCCCUAUCCUUAGUUGCUAGCAGGUAAUGCUGAGAACUCUAAGGAGACUGCCGGUGAUAAACCGGAGGAAGGUGGGGACGACGUCAAGUCAUCAUGGCCCUUACGUGUAGGGCUACACACGUGCUACAAUGGCGCAUACAGAGUGCUGCGAACUCGCGAGAGUAAGCGAAUCACUUAAAGUGCGUCGUAGUCCGGAUUGGAGUCUGCAACUCGACUCCAUGAAGUCGGAAUCGCUAGUAAUCGCGUAUCAGAAUGACGCGGUGAAUACGUUCCCGGGCCUUGUACACACCGCCCGUCACACCAUGGGAGUGGGUUGCUCCAGAAGUAGAUAGUCUAACCCUCGGGAGGACGUUUACCACGGAGUGAUUCAUGACUGGGGUGAAGUCGUAACAAGGUAACC